ACGAACACGCGCGUGGGGUACGAGGGGCCGCGCGAGGGCGGGAAAAUCAAUAUGCCAUCGAACACAAACCCGGGCAGAUCCUUAUUUUACCGGGAACAUUAUAAGGGACUUAGCUAAACACGAAGGGAUGAGCUUUCUUACUCGAAAUGCGAUACUCGUCAGUUCUGUACCGUGUUGUGCGGAAAUCAUAGCGAAUAUCGGAAUAUUUUCUAAUUGAAGAAAAAUGCAGUAAUGUGGGCUCACAAUCAUGCCAGCGGUCUUACCUUACUAUCUGUGCAGUCGGUCCACUUGAGGACCUCCUCGCGGAUCUCACGAAGGAGUUUUGCUGACAAAAUUACAAACAUUUAGAGUUAAUUUAAAAAUUGUAUACAUAUAUUACUUUAAAAAACAUUAGUUUAUCAA